GCCUGAGUUGAACACAUUUUAAUAAAUGGAGCAACGCAAAUUGAGGAAACGGCAACGCAGUUUCUUCAAUUUGCGCUGCCCUAUUCAGUAACAUGUGUUCAACUCAGGCUGAUAACAAUUCUCGGAAAUUUCGGUUACCAGUUUCCUUGGUGUGCCCUCGCCCUUAAUUCAUGAUCAGAUUAAGGGAAAUGAGUUGCGUAUUUUAAAAUUAUGUACACAUACAUACAUACAUACAUACAUAUAUCGGCGUUUCAGAGUAUUCAUAAGUGUGCAACUGGCACUAAAUAUAAAACUUGUCAAACAACAGUCACAAGACUAUCACAGAUAAAAUUGCAGACAGCAGUUCAACCAUAGUUAAAAUCUAAAAUGAAUACCUCAAUUAAAUAGAUACAAUUUUACACAUACAAUUAUACCAACAAGAUAAUUAGCAAUACAUAAUAAUUCUCCUUCCAUUAAGUACGAUACAAAAAUGUGUUAGCUACGAGUUAGCCCCGGCAAGAGCCUUCAGAAUGUUUCUUAUAAAGACCGCAUUACUACUCGUACAGCAGAAGUUACCAGUGCUUAGAGGAGUAUGUGUUCAGUGUUAGCUUCACCUCAGAAAGGAUAAGGUCAUAAUAGUGUCGAACAGCGCAUUAAGACCGUGGUAGUGAGUGUUAUAGUACCGUUGCGACUGAAUACGAACAUACAAGGUCCGUAUAUAAUCCAACAAGUGUACUUUUGUAUGGCUCAUAUGCGAAGGUCAGGUCUGUUUCACAGUGUAAAGAAAAAUCCAUUAAAAUGUUAUGGGAGGUCGGGGGAUAACUCCGAGAAAAACAUGCGUUCAUGAGCUUAAGAAAGUGAAGUCUACUUUAUCACUUGUUGACAAGAAACUUAUUGUCAUUUGUUGUGUACUUAGGUCUACUGAAGAAGUGGGCGGAAUAUGGGAGGGUCAUUUGCCCCAUUUACCCCUCAUUACUUUUAUGUAUGAGGUAGUUGUUUGAAGGACAACCGAGUCAAAUUUAUUGCGUGUAUUAAUUUGUGCCGUCCCAAAGUUAGGAUAUCAAGUAAGAUGGUCUAACGGAAAAUCCCAGGAUUUGCACUAAAAAGUUUCGGGGUUGGAAUCUCGAUCAGGACACAGGCUAUCCUGACAGAGGGUUUUCGUGGUAUUUCUCAGUCCUUCCGAGAAAAUGCCGGAAUACUACGUGUACCUUGCAGUGACUUUCCAAUUCAUCAGUCAUCGUAACAUUUGAUGGUACAUAGUCUAGCUACUGACAGCGUCGAGGGUAAUGACGAUAAUGACUCACAUGAAAGGAAACGUUAGAGUUAUGGGUUCGAAUCCAACCCAGGGAUAAAUGUGUACGUUUUUGUGUGCGUGCGUGUGUUUUUCUUUCUUGUGAUGGGCCACCCUACCCUCCAAGGACAUGUACCAAAUACCGAUAAACAAGAUUCAAAACCCCCGAAGAGGGAAGGUAUUGGGCUGCAUUGGUCUGUUUUGGCACACAAAAAGAAGUUUGAAGGAUAAAAUGCGUACAGAAAAAUCCUAAGGCGUAUAAGAAGAUUUGACGGAUAAGGCUUGGAGAUAUUUUUAUUGUUUACCGGUACUUCUGAAGAACUUUGUGCCAGUCUCAACCUGUUUAAAUAAUAUGGCGACUGUGUACGUGUGUAUGCGUGUAUGCAUGUCCAGUGACGUUUUCUUCACCUUGUAUGAUCUAGGUCAUCAAAAUCCGGGCCCUGCCAAGAACACAACUACAGCCAACAGCAGCAUUGAAGCCAAACACAUCUCCUGGUGAGCAAACUUUCACAAAAGGAAAGCCAGAGUUCUUUGCAAUCUGUG